CUCUACGAUUUCGUCAGACAGUCUCUUCUUUCUCUUCGCUUCACACUCUGUAUCAUCAGUAGAUAGUGAAUGUGUUUUUAUGUUACAGUAUGAGUUAUUUUGGUUCUAAUGAAAUUGAUGAUUGUUGUUUAGGUCAUGUCGGUGAUGAUAUGUUACAGUCACGUCUUUACCCACCUCCUCUGUUGUGAUUAUUCGUUUUGGCCAAAGAUUGAGCUUAUAUUUUGGUAUUAGCUCAGUGAUUCUCGAGGGGCUAUCUCUUUUAUUAGGAGUUACCUUCUAAUCAAGGUUCUUCUGUCUAUAUGUUCAUUGCUGACAGAUCCAAACCCUGAUGAUCCUUUGGUUCCAGAAAUAGCUCACACCUACAAGACAGACCGGUGUCAAGUACGAGAGCACUGCCCGAUCGUGGACCCAGAAGUAUGCAAUGGGACAAUGAUGAUUGUCAAUAAUAAUCUCACAAGUACAUUGCGCAUUGUCUAAGAAUAUGAGAAAUAAGAUCGAAAAAAACUGAAUGUGGUGUUUGCUUGGUUGCUUUAUUAGUUCUAUCAUCUUAAUCAGUGUGUUGGUGUACAUGAGCUUUAUAUUGAGACAUUUUGAGAACUUGCAAUGCUUUAAAGCCAAUAAUUGGCUAUUAUGAUUAUGAUGAGUCAGUAUUAACGACA